ACGUGCUACAAUGGCGCAUACAAAGAGAAGCGACCUCGCGAGAGCAAGCGGACCUCAUAAAGUGCGUCGUAGUCCGGAUUGGAGUCUGCAACUCGACUCCAUGAAGUCGGAAUCGCUAGUAAUCGUGGAUCAGAAUGCCACGGUGAAUACGUUCCCGGGCCUUGUACACACCGCCCGUCACACCAUGGGAGUGGGUUGCAAAAGAAGUAGGUAGCUUAACCUUCGGGAGGGCGCUUACCACUUUGUGAUUCAUGACUGGGGUGAAGUCGUAACAAGGUAACCGUAGGGGAACCUGCGGUUGGAUCACCUCCUUACCUGAAAGAAGC
rnacentral:rRNA from 1 species